UACAGAGGGUGCGAGCGUUUUCCGGAAUCACUGGGCGUAAAGGGCGCGUAGGCGGCCUGGUAAGUAGGGGGUGAAAUCUUGCGGCUCAACUGCAAGGCUGCCUCCUAAACUGCCGGGCUGGAGCACGGUAGAGGCAGAUGGAAUUCCCGGUGUAGCGGUGGAAUGCGUAGAGAUCGGGAAGAACAUCGGUGGCGAAGGCGGUCUGCUGGGCCGUUGCUGACGCUGAGGCGCGACAGCGUGGGGAGCAAACAGG
rnacentral:rRNA from 1 species